rnacentral:rRNA from 1 species
ACUCAAAUGAAUUGACGGGGGAUCGCACAAGCGGUGGAGCAUGUGGUUUAAUUCGACGCUAACCGGAGAACCUUACCAGGGUUUGACAUCUAUGGAAUCCGCCGGAAACGGUGGAGUGCCUUCGGGAGCCAUAAGACAGGUAUUGCACGGCUGUCGUCAGCUCGUGGCGUGAGCUGUACCAUUAAGUUGGUUAACGAGCGAAACCUACGUCGUCUGUUGGAUUUUUCAGACGAGACUGCCCUCUUUCGAGGGAGGAAGGCGUAGAUGACGUCAAGUCAGCGUGGUCCUUAUACCCUGGGCUACACACGUGCUACAAUGCCAUCGACAAAGGGUUUGCCAAGCCGCGAGGCGGAGCUAAUCCCAUCAAAAGAUGGCCCAGUUCGGAUUGGAGGCUGCAACUCGCCUCCAUGAAGCCGGAAUCGCUAGUAACCGUGGGUCAGCUAUACCACGGUGAAUACGUUCUCGAUCCUUGUACACACCGCCCGU